AGUAGCCUAGAUUAAGUCUGAUGAACUUCUCAUCAAAUAUAAUGGAUAUGAAUAUGGAUAUUCCUAUAUUCGAACUGCUAUUCAAUCAAUUUUUAGCCCUAUGCUAGAUCAUCUUGCCUUCACAUUAAGCAUGCAAGCUUAUGCAUAUACAAAUUUUGCCAAUACUUGUACAUACAUAGAACAAGCCUUUUUCUCCCAAUUUGCAAGUCCAUUUUUGCAAGGCAUGGUCU
rnacentral:lncRNA from 1 species